rnacentral:lncRNA from 1 species
GUUUUCCAGAGUGGCUGUACCAGUUCCCGUUGCCACCAACAGUGCAAGAGGGUUCCCCUUUCUCCACAGCUUCUCCAACAUUUGUUGUUUCCCCUCUUGUUCAUUUCCGCCAUCCUCACUGGUGUGAGGUGGUAUCUCGUUGUGGUUUGGAUUUGUAUCUCCCUGAUGGCCAGUGGUGCGGAGCAUUUUCUCAUGUGCUUGUUGGCCACGUCUGUGUCUUCCAUUUGGAAGUUUCUGUUCCUGUUUUUUGCCCAUUUCAUGAUUGGAUUGUUUGUUUCUUUGCUGUUGAGUUUAAUCAGUUCUUUAUAGGUCUUGGAUACCAGCCCCUUGAUCUGAUAGGUCACUUGCAAGUGUCUUCUCCCAUUCUGCAGGUUGUCUUUUGGCGCCGUUGACUCUUUCUUUGGCUGUGCGGAAGCGGUUUAUCUCGAUGAAGUCCCAAGAGUUCAUUUUUGCUUUUGCUUCCCUUGCCUUCAGAGAUGUGUCUUGCAAGAAGUUGCUGUGGCCAAGUUCAAAAAGCACAGUUGCCUGUGCUCUCCUCCAGGAUUUUGAUGGAUUCUUGUCUCACGUCUAGAUCUUUCGUCCAUUUUGAGUUUCUCUUUGUGUCUGGUGUCAGAGAGUGGUCUAGUUUCAUUCUUCUGCACGUGGCUGUCCAAUGUUCCCAGCACCGUUUAUUGAAGAGACUGUCCUUUUCCCAGUGGGUAGUCUUUCCUGCUUUGUCAAAUACUAGUGGACCAUAGAGGUGAGGGACCGUUUCUGGGUUCUCUAUUCUGUUCCGUUGAUCUCUGUGUCUGUUUCUGCCAGUACCACACCGUCUAGAGGGCCACAGCUUUGUAGUACAACCUGAAAUCCGGCAUUGUGAUGCCCCCGACUCCGAUUUUCUUUUCCAAUAUUCCCCUGGCUAUUCGGGGUCUUUUCUGAAUCCACACAAAUCAUAAGGCCAUUUGUUCCAACUCUCUGAAGGACGUCCAUGGGAUUUUGAUUAGGGAUUUCCCUGAAAGCGAAAAUUGCCCUGAGUAGCACUGACAUUUUCACAAUCUUAAUUCUUGCGAUCCACGAGCAUGGAAUAUUUUUCCGUGCCUUUAUGUGUCUUGCUCAGUUUCUUUCAGAAGAGUUCUGUAGUGUUCAAGGUAUAGAUCCUUUACCUCUUUGGUGAGGUUUAUUCCUAGGUGUCUUCUGCUUUUGGGUGCAGUUGAAAAUGGGACUGACUCCUGAAUUUCUCUUCCUUCAGUCUCAUUGUUAGUGUAUAGGAUGGCCACUGAUUUUGGGGCUUUGAUUUUGUAUGCCGCCACACUGUCGAAUUGCUGUAUGAUUUCUCGCAAGCUUAGGGCAUUGUCUUUUGGGUUUUCUCCGUACAGUGUCUCGUCAUCUGCAAAGUGCAAGAGUCUGUUGACGUCUUCUUUGCCAAUUUGAAUGCCUUUUAUUUCCUUUUGUUGCCUGAUUGCUGAGGCUAGGACUUCUAGUACUAAGCGCGGGGUCUCUGAUCCACCCGUCUCCCCAGUUUCUGUGGUGACAGGGGGCCCAGGACCUCCUUCCCUGAUGGAUCAGAGAACUGGUGCUGUUCAGCGGGUCAGCUUUCCUCUGCUGAUGGCAGGAGUGAGGAUCUCUAAAGUCCAUCCAUGUCGGGCCACAACCUGCAAUUCUUUUCAUCUUUUAUAAUGACAGUGAAUGGAUUUUAGCCUGUUCCGAUGCCAAGAGGGCCCUCUCACCCCAAUGUCUGGCAAAGGGAAGAGAUGGAUUGAGGAAGUCCUUGUGCUGCGGUGAAAUGGGAUGUCACCCGUCGCUCAGGGAUAUGUCCCAUCGUCAAGGUAAAGCUGCCCUGGUUUGCCGUCGCCCACAAUCCUUGAUACCACCCCAUUUCCCCAGGGAGAUGAGGAAGAGGGGGAUUUUCCCAGGACUUCCAAG